rnacentral:misc_RNA from 1 species
UACGUAGGUGGCAAGCGAUGUCCGGAAUUAUUGGGCGUAAAGCGCGCGCAGGCGGUCCCUUAAGUCUGAUGUGAAAGCCCACGGCUCAACCGUGGAGGGUCAUUGGAAACUGGGGGACUUGAGUGCAGAAGAGGAGAGUGGAAUUCCAUGUGUAGCGGUGAGAUGCGUAGAGAUGUGGAGGAACACCAGUGGCGAAGGCGACUUUCUGGUCUGUAACUGACGCUGAGGAGCGAAAGCAUGGGUAGUGAACAGG